rnacentral:rRNA from 1 species
UACGAAGGGGGCUAGCGUUGCUCGGAAUCACUGGGCGUAAAGCGCACGUAGGCGGCUUUCUAAGUCAGGGGUGAAAUCCUGGAGCUCAACUCCAGAACUGCCUUUGAUACUGGAGAGCUUGAGUCCGGAAGAGGUGAGUGGAACUCCGAGUGUAGAGGUGAAAUUCGUAGAUAUUCGGAAGAACACCAGUGGCGAAGGGCGGCUCACUGGUCCGGUACUGAACGCUGAGGUGCGAAAGCGUGGGGGAGCAAACAGGG